rnacentral:rRNA from 1 species
CCAGCAGCCGCGGUAAUUCCAGCUCCAAUUGCGUAUGUUUAAGUUGUUGCGGUUAAAAAACUCGUAGUUGGAUUUUGGGUGGUGCUUGCCGGUCCGUCUUUCGUGAUGUGCACUAGUGUGGCUCUGCCUUGAUGCUGAGGCCCACGUCCCAGGCUUUACUGUUUGGGGCUGGAAGGCAGCAAUGUUACUUUGAGUAAAAUAGAAUGUUCAAAGCAAGCCUGCGCUCUAAAUACAUUAGCAUGGAAUAACAUGAUAGAACUCUGGCUUAUCUUGUUGGUCUGUGAGACCAGAGUAAUGUUUAAGAGGGACAGUCGGGGAUAUUCGUAUUUCAUUGUCAGAGGUGAAAUUCUUGAAUUUAUGAAAGACAAACUUUUGCGCAAGCAUUUGU